UUCCGUAGGGGGAACCUGCGGAGGGAUCAUUACAGAGUUAUACAACUCCCAUACCAUUUGUAAACUUUACUCAGUUAUGCCUCGGCGUGAACUGCGUACGGAGGCAGAGUGGUGUUACCCGGUAGCUUACCCUGUAGGUUACCCUGUAGCGCUACCCUGUAUCAACUCCCGCGCAGCCCGCCGGUGGUACACUAAACUCUUGUUUUAUUUUAUAUUCUGAGCGUAUUAUUUUAAUAAUUAAAACUUUCAACAACGGAUCUCUUGGUUCUGGCAUCGAUGAAGAACGCAGCGAAAUGCGAUAAGUAAUGUGAAUUGCAGAAUUCAGUGAAUCAUCGAAUCUUUGAACGCACAUUGCGCCCAUCAGUAUUCUGGUGGGCAUGCCUGUUCGAGCGUCAUUUCAACCCUUAAGCCUAGCUUAGUGUUGGGAAUCUACUGUAUUGUAGUUCCUUAAAGACAGUGGCGGAGCACAGUAGUCCUCUGAGCGUAGUAAAUUUAUUUCUCGCUUCUGUAAGGCUCUGUUCUCCCGCCAUAAAACCCCCAAUUUUUUAGUGGUUGACCUCGGAUCAGGUAGG
rnacentral:rRNA from 1 species